rnacentral:lncRNA from 1 species
UCCAUAUCAGACAGGAUGGAACUCAACACUCUAUGAAUCCAGUCUAAGACAGAACCAGAAUGCACUGAGUUCCCUUGCAUUCUAGCAAAUUUAAGCUCUUUCUUGACUGCAGGAUUUAAGCCGUAGAGAUGAUAUACUAAUCGCUGUCUUACCACUCUAUAGCCACAUGGUUCUCCGUAAUGGUUAAUGUGUUAAAACAGAAACAAAAGUAUUCUGUGGAAUAUCUGUGAUGCAGAUUGCAUCACAUGAUAGAUGGGAGGGUCCUAAGCCCUAGCAAAAUGUAAUUGCCCAUCUUGCUUUCAUUUAUCAGGGGUGUGCCCCUUCCCUGUAAUGCAACUUGCUAUUCUGUAACUGCACACUGAUCUAAGGCUUUGUGACAGCUCCUCUGUUUUAAGCAACAGUAAAUUCACCCUACAAAGUCAGAAAGGCAGCUUUUUGAUAGCUGCUGUCAAUUUUAUUGCUUUAUCCUGGUUACUAGGAUAGAAUCUGUAGACAUGGUGUGUUUAUUGGUUUUAUGUAUCGUAUGUUGUUACUGCUCUGACAAGCUAUUCCUAUAAAAAUGUGUUAUUAUUGCAUGUUGUAGCUCAGUGAGCUGACCCUGCAUUUCAAAGUGUACUGAAGCAAAUAGCAUUGAAGUCCAUAAAAGUUGACUGGCCUCCAUCACAGAGGACUCUCUGCGUGAGCUGCAAUUCCCACAAUCUGAUAGCAAAUUAUACCUUUCCCCAGAGCCAGCAGCCAUCACUGCUAACUGAACAUAGCACAGACACAAACACAGGCAUGAUCAGUAAAAUUUCAAGACAGGAAGCUGUCAUACCAUUCCUACUUGUCCAAUUCCUCAAGAAGUGUCAUUUGUAAUUUUGAAGCUUACAAAAGUAUGAAAUAAA